rnacentral:rRNA from 1 species
AACGUACGCUGGCGGCAUGCCUAACACAUGCAAGUCGAACGAACCCUUCGGGGAUAGUGGCGCACGGGUGCGUAACGCGUGGGAAUCUGCCCUUUGCUUCGGAAUAACAGUUAGAAAUGACUGCUAAUACCAGAUGAUGUCCUCGGACCAAAGAUUUAUCGGCAAAGGAUGAGCCCGCGUAGGAUUAGGUAGUUGGUGGGGUAAAGGCGUACGAAGCCGACGAUCCUUAGCUGGUCUGAGAGGAUGAUCAGCCACACUGGGACUGAGACACGGCCCAGACUACGUCGGGGUGCAGCAGUGGGGGAUAUUGGACAAUGGAGGCAAGUCUGUGCCAGCAAUGCCGCGUGAGUGAGGAAGGCCUUAGGGUUGUAAAGCUCUUUUACCAGGGAUGAUAAUGACAGUACCUGGAGAAUAAGCGCCGGCUAACUCAGUGCCAGCAGCCGCCGUAACAC